CAGCCGCCACGGUAAUACGAAGGGGGCUAGCGUUGUUCGGAUUUACUGGGCGUAAAGGGUGCGUAGGCGGAUUGUUAAGUCAGGGGUGAAAUCCCGAGGCUCAACCUCGGAACUGCCUUUGAUACUGGCGAUCUUGAGUCCGGGAGAGGUGAGUGGAACUGCGAGUGUAGAGGUGAAAUUCGUAGAUAUUCGCAAGAACACCGGUGGCGAAGGCGGCUCACUGGCCCGGUACUGACGCUGAGGCACGAAAGCGUGGGGAGCAAACAGGAUUAGAUACCCCUGUAGUCCCUGUCUCUUAUAC
rnacentral:rRNA from 1 species